rnacentral:rRNA from 1 species
AAAGAUUAAGCCAUGCAUGUCUAAGUCCAAGCUGUGUUUGACACGGCGAGACCGCGGACGGCUCAUUAAAUCAGUCGUGGUCCAAAUGGGCCAGUGUUAUGCUUACUUGGAUAACUGUGGUAAUUCCAGAGCUAAUACAUGCAACCUAUAUCCCGAAGGCGGGCUUUACUCUUGUAGUGGGUCUGUUCUGACGGAUGCUUUUAUUAGACCAAACCGCUGAGGGUGUGGGUGUUACGCUUCGGCUAGCGCUCAUGCUUGACUCGCUUAAUGGUGACUCUGGAUAACCUUUUUGACAAGCGCACGUACCCAUCUUUAGACGGGACGGCGCUGCCACUUUCGAGUGUCUGCCUUAUCAGCUAUCAACCGUUCGUUAUGUGCGACCGAUGGCUUUGACGGGUAACGGGGAAUCAGGGUUCGAUUCCGGAGAGGCAGCCUGAGAGACGGCUACCACGUCCAAGGACGGCAGCAGGCACGCAAAUUACCCAAUCCCAGCAACUGGGGGAGGUAGUGACGAAAUCUAACGAUGCGGGCGCCCUUUUUGGGGCCCCGCAAUCGGAAUGGGCACUUUCUAAAUAACCUGUUGAGAACCUACUGAAGGGCAAGUCUGGUGCCAGCAGCCGCGGUAAUUCCAGCUUCAGCAGCAUCUAUUAAAGUUGCUGCGGUUAAAAGGCUCGCAGUUGAAUGUCAGUAUCGAGCGCAGGUCAGGUGGACGUUGGGGUGUGAGAGCUAAAGGUUCUGAUCUUGGUUCAGGCUUGCUUGUUCCUCGUGAAGUUCCUUCUCACAAACUCCCGUCCGUGACAAGCCUCCUCGCUUGCGUACAUAUCGGAAUCGGAUCAUGGAGUGUGCGCAGUGGUGUCCCUUGGGGCAUUGCUCGCACGUUAA